rnacentral:lncRNA from 1 species
GGAAAAGGAGAAGUCUCCAAGCUUCCUAGUUAGAAGGGAGGAGACCUUGGCCCCAGCCUUGGUGGAAGCUCUUCCAGAAGAGGUUCGAAGCGCCACUGAGAACUUUUAUAGGUUCUGGACUGACAGGUGGCAGCUGCAUGCCUCCUCCUGCGAUGCAUCCGACCUGACGAGGGCGUUGGUGAGCCAAAGCGUCAGAACUUUUGGCCUCGCUCUUGAAUGCAGGGAGGCCCUAAGUGAUUUUCAAUCAAGGACCAGAUCUUCAGAGGAGAAGACGACCUCCCUUGCAGAUGAGGUUAAGGUGGCUAGGGCCGAGGCGGAGGAAGCCAGGGCCCAAAAAGUUGAAGAAAUGGCCAAGCUUGAGUCUGCCUUGGCCCAGAUUAAGGCUUUGAAGAAGGAAGUUCAUGAGUCACAGUGCGAGGUGGCCUCCCUAACAAAGAAGGUAGAGGUCUCCAAUGAGCACCAAAAGGUGACUGCUGAGCCCCUGGAGAAGGCCAAUCUCUCUCUAGUGGGUGCCCAGGAUGCUUAUCAUUUCUUGGAAACCCAAAUCAAGUGGUAUGUGGAUGAUGCAUCCCACGCCAGAGAGGAAGCUCAACGGGCGAGGAAAGAGGCGGUGUAGGAGUACGUCGCCAACUUCCAUAACACGCAGGAGUAUAAGAGCUUCAGUGCUUACUGGAGAAACUUUGCCUAUGCUGAGGUAAUGGAGGGGGCAUAGGAAAUGUAUCCCAAUUUGGAUCUGACUCAACUCAGGUCUGAAUUCGUGGAUGAGGUACCUCAGACCGCUGUUGAGGAGGUGCAGGGUGAUGAAGCAGCUGAAAUAAGGGAGACAAGUGCCGAUGCUUAAGCUGCUGAAGCCCCAAGUACUGAAGCACCUCCCCCAUCUACCGAAGCUUAGAUUAGUUUUCUUUUCAAUUUUUUGAAUGUAAUAGCCUGAGGCCCACUUUUGUAAUCCUUAUUGAAGAUCAAUAACAUGCCUGUUUCAUUCAUUGUUGUUUCUUUAUCAACUGUACGCGCCUCGGACUUAAGUAAAUGAACUUUAAACAACUGUUUGAGCCUCGGACUUAAAACAACUGUUUGAGCCUAGGACUUAAGCAAAUGAACUUCGGACAUAAGCGAAUGAACUUCGGACAUAAGCGAAUGAACUUUACUUAAGCAAAUGAACUUUAAACAACUCUUUGAGCCUCGGACUUAAGCAAAUGAACUUCGGACAUAAGCGAAUGAACUUUACUUAAGCGAAUGAACUUUAAACAACUGUUUGAGCCUCGGACUUAAGCAAAAUAACUUUACUUAAGCAAAUGAACUGUUUGAGCCUCGGACUAAGUGAAUGAACCUCGGACUUAUUACACGUGAGGUGGCCUCUUCCCUUGGCAUUUAGUCCAGCCAAAGGGAGGCGCGUGCUAUAGCCUCGAAUUUCGAUCGAGGUGGCCCAGACGUGGGGCGCGAGCCUCUCAUCCGAGGUGAUGACGCAUCCCAGCCACGGUGGGUGGUGCAGCCAUAUCGAGGCUUCUCCCCUUGGUGUUUUGUUUGUUUUGGCCAAAGGGAGUCAUGUGCUAGAGCCUCGGAGUUCCAGCGAGGUGGCCCAGAGGUGGGACGCGAGCCUCUCCCUCCGAGGUUACGAGGUGGUUCAACACGUUAAUUUAAUCACUAAAUUUUAUUGAACCAUAGAAAUGUUACAAGGGCUGGGAAAGGUCGUCCAGCAAGAUAGUACAUUAUUGGUAGUAGAUUUUGAGGUGUUCAAUGUUCCAUGGUCGGGGUUGUGCCUUGCCGUUCAUGUCUUCAAUCCAGUAAGUCCCAGGUCGGACUUCUUCUCUGAUUUCGUAUGGACCCUCCCAGUUUGGGCCAAGGGAACCGGAACCAGGUUCUUUCGAGAAAACGAAGACCCUCCUAAGUACAAGGUCGUUGAUUCGGAAUGACCUCUUCUUGACUUUCGAGUUGAAAUACCUUGUCAUCUUCCUCUGAUAUGUGCCGAGCUUCACUUGGGAGUCAUCUCUUCUUUCUUCGACGAAGUCGAGGUCGAGCCUCCGGAGCUCGUCGUUAGAUAUCUCGCUGAAGUGCAGACGUCUUGGGAAUGGAAGUCCGACUUCCACGGGGCUCAUAGCCUCAGUUCUGAAUGCCAUGAGGAAGGGUGUUUCUCCUGUUGGGGUCUUGGUGGUGGUUCGGAUCGUCAAAAGGGCUUGGGCAGCUCAUCAACCCAGGCCCCUUUUGAUACAUCCAGCUUCCUUUUCAAGACGUGCUUAAUCAUCUUGUUCACGGCCUCGACUUGGCCGUUUGCUUGUGGGUGGUGAGGUGUGAAGAAGUGCUUCUUUAUGCCGAGCUCUUCGCACAAUUCUCUAAUCUUCUUGUUGUCA